UACGAAGGGUACAAGCGUUACUCGGAAUUACUGGGCGUAAAGGGUGCGUAGGUGGUUUUUUAAGUCCGUUGUGAAAUCCCUGGGCUCAACCUGGGAAUGGCAGUGGAUACUGGAAAGCUAGAGUGCGGUAGAGGGUAGUGGAAUUCCCGGUGUAGCAGUGAAAUGCGUAGAGAUCGGGAGGAACACCAGUGGCGAAGGCGGCUACCUGGACCAGCACUGACACUGAGGCACGAAAGCGUGGGGAGCAACAGG
rnacentral:rRNA from 1 species